rnacentral:misc_RNA from 1 species
GCUCAAGGAGAACGAGCACCCGUACCGGCGGGAGGAUCGGAAGCUGUGGGAGAAGCUGCCGCACGUUCCCGGGCUGGACGGGAGGCCGAUGCCGCGGAAGGCGAUCAAGACGAGGAGGGAGUCGGAUGAUAAGUUUUGGGACUUUGCGAGGCAGUUCUUUUUGGGGCUGUGGGGGUUCCGGCAGCGGCCGUACCCUCCCGGAAGGCCGAUUGAUGUUGCACAGGCGAUCGGGUAU